rnacentral:tRNA from 1 species
GCCCCAGUGGCCUAGCGGUAGGGCGCGUCCUUGGUAAGGACGAGGUCCCGCGUUCAAAUCGCGGCUGGGGCU